rnacentral:rRNA from 1 species
UACGUAGGGUGCGAGCGUUAAUCGGAAUUACUGGGCGUAAAGCGUGCGCAGGCGGUUUUGUAAGCCAGAUGUGAAAUCCCCGGGCUUAACCUGGGAAUGGCAUUUGGGACUGCAAGGCUCGAGUGCGGCAGAGGAGACUGGAAUUCCUGGUGUAGCAGUGAAAUGCGUAGAGAUGUGGAGGAGCACCGAUGGCGAAGGCAGCCCCCUGGGUCAAGAUUGACGCUCAUGCACGAAAGCGUGGGGAGCAAACAGG